UCUCCCGCCAAAUACAGCACACGGUUUGUUUGUGAAACCUUUACACAGCAUUAUACUCUUGGAAUUCUAAUGGAGGUCAUGGAAGGCAAUAUUGAGUAUGUAUAUAACGAAGAGGACGUUUCAAAGAAAUAUGAUAUAGGUUACCAAGAUGAUUUCGAUGAGAAGGCUGGCCAGGUGAACAAUCUAUACGAACUCAAAAGAUAGGAAACAUUUACUGGUUUAGAGAAGAACACCACACAUUUGUUCUCUUGUUAGUUGGGAAAUACAAGUUGACGUUGGAAAGGAAACUAAAUGCUCUACAACAUUUAAAAAACUAUUAUAUAUAGUGCUUCUACAUGUAUGUGUGGGACCCUUAAUAACUCCAGCAAGUAUCAGCUAUUACAUCAUGUAUUAGGAGGAUAUGAUCAACAAUAUAUAUAUUUGAGGAUAAGAUUAACAAAUCCUAAAAGUCUGAAUAUUGUACAAAAUUGUCAAUUACAAUAUGCACAAUAUCUUACUUACUAUAAUAUUUAAAGAAGUGUAACAAAG